GACGAACGCUGGCGGCGUGCCUAAUACAUGCAAGUAGAACGCUGAAGGAGGAGCUUGCUUCUCUGGAUGAGUUGCGAACGGGUGAGUAACGCGUAGGUAACCUGCCUGGUAGCGGGGGAUAACUAUUGGAAACGAUAGCUAAUACCGCAUAAUAGUAGAUGUUGCAUGACAUUUGCUUAAAAGGUGCAAUUGCAUCACUACCAGAUGGACCUGCGUUGUAUUAGCUAGUUGGUGGGGUAACGGCUCACCAAGGCGACGAUACAUAGCCGACCUGAGAGGGUGAUCGGCCACACUGGGACUGAGACACGGCCCAGACUCCUACGGGAGGCAGCAGUAGGGAAUCUUCGGCAAUGGACGGAAGUCUGACCGAGCAACGCCGCGUGAGUGAAGAAGGUCUUCGGAUCGUAAAGCUCUGUUGUAAGAGAAGAACGAGUGUGAGAGUGGAAAGUUCACACUGUGACGGUAUCUUACCAGAAAGGGACGGCUAACUACGUGCCAGCAGCCGCGGUAAUACGUAGGUCCCGAGCGUUGUCCGGAUUUAUUGGGCGUAAAGCGAGCGCAGGCGGUUAGAUAAGUCUGAAGUUAAAGGCUGUGGCUUAACCAUAGUACGCUUUGGAAACUGUUUAACUUGAGUGCAAGAGGGGAGAGUGGAAUUCCAUGUGUAGCGGUGAAAUGCGUAGAUAUAUGGAGGAACACCGGUGGCGAAAGCGGCUCUCUGGCUUGUAACUGACGCUGAGGCUCGAAAGCGUGGGGAGCAAACAGG
rnacentral:rRNA from 1 species